GACUCAGGCUGGAUAAGGAAGUGUUGGGC
rnacentral:piRNA from 1 species